rnacentral:lncRNA from 1 species
UUUAAAGUUUCGUCUUGAUCUCUAUACUGAGAUCUUGUUCGAUUGUUAUUUUUUUUAAAUAUAGCCUAUAGGUGUAUUCCCCCCCCAUACACCUAUUCGAGACCCUCCGGACCUAACACGAGGAAGUAUAUAUUUUGAGAAUAUUAUUAAAAUGCGAUUAUAUAAAAAGAAAGAAGAAAGAAAACCUUAAAAAAAAUCCUUGAAAGCACAGAAAAGCAGACUAAGGGCCGAGCCUCAUUAAAACCUUUUUACAGAAAACCCAGUGGGAAAAACCGUAAAAAGGAAAAAGAGUACUCGUCUAAAAAAUGAAAAAACAAGCAAAAGUGGAAAGAGCGGAAAGGAAUACUUCCAGAACUCUAGCCUAACCAUCGUCCUUAAGCAAUCCCGGCUCGUAACCACCGUAACCAACGAAAACACAAAACUCAGAAAAAAUUUAAUCUGACUACAAGAGAAAAAGACUAAAGUAAAGCCAAAAACCCAAAAUAAGGCAAG